UAGGUUCGAUCAUGGCUCAGAUUGAACGCUGGCGGGAUGUUUACACAUGCAAGUCGAACGGCAGCACGGACUUCGGUCUGGUGGCGAGUGGCGAAACAGGUGAGUAAUGUAUCGGAACGUGCCUAGUAGCGGGGGAUAACUACGCGAAAGCGUAGCUAAUACCGCAUACGCCCUUCGGGGAAAGCGGGGGACCUUCUGGCCUGCACUAUUAGAUGGCCGAUAUCGAUUGAAGGUUGGUGGGGUAACGGCUCACCACAGCGACGAUCCGUAGCUGGUUUGAGAGGACGACCAGCCACACUGGGACUGAGACACGGCCCAGACUCCUACGGGAGGCAGCAGUGGGGAAUUUUGACAAUGGGGAAAACCCCUGAUCCAGCCAUCCCGCGUGUGCGAUGAAGGCCUUCGGGUUGUAAAGCACUUUUGGCAGGAAAGAAACGGCACGGGAUAAUACCCCGUGCAACUGACGGUACCUGCAGAAUAAGCACCGGCUAACUACGUGCCAGCAGCCGCGGUAAUACGCAGGGUGCAGCGUUAAUCGGAAUUACUGGGCGUAAAGCGUGGUGCAGGCGGUUCGAAAAAGAAAGAUGUGGAACUUGGUGAGCUUAACUUUUUGGAACUGCAUUUUUAACUACCGAGCUAGAGUGUGUCAGAGGGAGGUGGAAUUCCGUGUAGCAGUGAAAUGCGUAGAUAUGGGAGAACACCGAUGGCGAGGGCAGCCUCCUGGGAUAACACUGACGCUCAUGCAUGAAAAAGCGUGGGGAGCAAACAGGAUUAGAUACCCUGGUAGUCCACGCCCUAAAAACGAUGUCAACUAGCUGUUGGGGCCUUCGGCCUUGGUAGCGCAGCUAACGCGUGAAGUUGACCGCCUGGGAGUACGGUCGCAAGAUUAAAACUCAAAGGAAUUGACGGGACCCGCACAAGCGGUGGAUGAUGUGAUUAAUUCGAUGCAAUCGCGAAAACCUUACUCACCCUUGACAUGUCUGAAUCCCGAAGUAGAUUUUGGGAGUGCCUGCAAGAGAACCGAACACAGGUGCUGCAUGGCUGUCGUCAGCUCGCCAGCAGAUGUUGGGUUAAGUCCCGCAACGAGCGCAACCCUUGUCAUUAGUUGCUACGAAAGGGCACUCUAAUGAGACUGCCGGUGACAAACCGGAGGAAGGUGGGAUGACGUCAAGUCCUCAUGGCCCUUAUGGGUAGGGCUUCACACGUCAUACAAUGGUCGGGACAGAGGGUCGCCAACCCGCGAGGGGGAGCCAAUCCCAGAAACCCCGAUCAGUCCGGAUCGCAGUCUGCAACUCGACUGCGUGAAGUCGGAAUCUCGCUAGUAAUCGCGGAUCAGCAUGUCGCGGUGAAUACGUUCCCGGUCUUGUACACACCGCCCGUCACACCAUGGGAGUGUUUGACCAGAAGUAGUUAGCUCAUCCUCGUAAGGGGAGGGCGAUUGCCACGGUAGGAUUCAGUGACUGGGUGAAGUCGUAACAAGGUAG
rnacentral:rRNA from 1 species